AAGAAGGCAAUCAACACACAAUUAUUAAUUUGGUAAGAAAGAUACAAUAUCUUAAGAUUUCAGUGGGAUAAGAAGUUGCUCAUACCUAUGGAGACUGUUAAUGGAUCUUUAAAUUUUUUGACUUUAGGCAGUGGUAUUAUCUCCCUAGAGGGUUCAAUCUAUCAAGGAAGAAAAAGUAAAUAAAUACUAAUAGUUGAAAUCGAUCAAAUUUUGACUUGUUAAAGCUGACGAAGACUUAUCUUGGACAAGGAAAGCUAGAUCUAUGGUGAAUUAAGUUGAAGAAGUCUUUGAUUGGAAUUAUUUUAUGGAAAUUGUGAGAAGUUAAAAUGCCCAAAAUGAAAUCACCCAAAGCUCGAACUCAUCUUGAAAAUCGAUGCUUUCUGAUGUCCAUAGCAGAGCUUCUUAUCAAAUUCUCUAGAUCUUCGAUCUACAUUGAUAUUGAAGAUGGUAGAUUGAAAUGGAGAAAAUGAAGCAUCUAAA
rnacentral:lncRNA from 1 species